rnacentral:lncRNA from 1 species
CAUUGUGUAGGCUGUAUCAUGUACGGAUUGUCUGCUGCUUCUUUAAGUUCUCCAUUGAAACAGAAUGAGGAAGAGAUAGAUUCAUUGCGGAUACAAGUACAUGAGUUGUUGAAAAAGCAAAAAGCAGACCGUUUAAGACUUGCUGGACUGGAGAAUCUAGUGCAUCAUCUCAUAGACAAUUUUUGAUCUGAUGAUGAUGACUCUGAUGGGGAGAAUUAGUUUGUUGUGGUUGUGAUGUUGGAACAUUUACUUGUUUGAUUUCGUUGGGAUAUUACCUGAAUGGUGUCUGAAUGUCUAGACUUGCUUUUGGAUGUCACUUGAAUGGUGCUUGGAUGUUUUGGACUUCCUUUUGGAUGUUUUAGUUAUAAACAUGUUUAAUUUUUGGAAUUUUAGGAGGUUUGAUUGUUGGGCACAAAAUUGUGGUAAAGAAUCUCAAAAAGAUCUCUUCGGAAAGGAACAGUAUCAGAGCCAACUUGCUGCCUCUUAGCAGGAGAUGUCUUUACCAAAAAGUUCAGUUAUUCCUUUAGUAGGAUCCUGCUGUUUUACAAGCGACUCACCAACUAGCACCUACAGAGAUGCAACAACAAUAUCACCAUAUAUGAAUUAUGAUGGACAAGGACAAGGGUAAGGGUAUAAACAAACUACAUCAUUGAUCAGAAUGCACUUAUCAUAGUAGUUGAUGAUAACAUGAUUGUCAAAUGAAGACCAGGCAAAACCAUAUUAGCAGGAGUAAAUAAUUAUACGCAGUUAUCAUUGUGAACUUCUAAAUUAGAAAAGAAGCUUACCGGUUAGACAUCAGCUUCUUGUACAUAACCAAUAUCAGCUGGAGUAAAUAGUCCAGACUCCCCAACCACCUGAAGAACUUAAGUGGCAGUGAAGUCACAACUUAGUGAGAGAGCAAAACUACUAAACAAAAGCUUCCAUGACGUACAAUUAUGCCCUUUUGAGUAUCAAAGUUGAUGAAAUCUAUCAACUCUUGGAGGUCAGUGUAUGGAGUGUCUUGUUUCGAGCCCCUAAAUUUACCGUUCUCGUUGAUGUCAAUUAAUCUAGAUACAAACCUGUGACCACAUUGACAAAAAGAGUAGUUAAAAAUUGACAAAACAGCAACCAUAUUACCAUAAGCAGAGCAGUUAGCUCUUCUAAGCUCAAGCCUUUUCUUUUGUGAUCAAAUAAGUAAGUUUUCUAAGCUCAAGUUUUUCCCCAUAAUAGAACACAGAACAGAAGCAAUAAGAUCUGAUCAAAGCAACCUUGUCAUCAGCAAUGCUUAAGCAUAAAUUGUUCCCUCAGUUUAAAGACAAAAGUUGAAGUCAUUUAGGAGCGUAAUUGUACUCAACCAAAUAUAGUACACACCAAACCAUCCAUACCUUGCAUAUCAAUUUCAACUGAAGAGUAAUAAUCACCUGUAGAAGGAGUCAGAGUUGUGAUUCAUACAGCAAAUGAGGUUGUUUGCUCCAAAGUUUCUCGCAACAGACUAGCUUCUUGGUAUCUCCCAGUAAGUGCAACAUGACCUCCAUGUCCAUACCUUAAGGCACAUCAACUUUUACUCCAUCUACACCACUGCUUGUAAGAUAACUAUGAAGAUCAUUGUAAAAAUAAAAAAUCCUCCGCGGAUAGAUUACACCAACUCCAAAUUUUUCCAAGCUGUCCAUAGCUAUAUCUCGAAAAUAUCCUGUGUUACCAGGUGAUUGAAUUGGAUACUCGAUCUUUGGGUUGUAUUUCCUCAUAGUUUCAGAUGACGGAUGCAACCCUUCCUAGUAACCAAGCCAAGCGUGCCAGACAUAUACAUACAACAAUACAUGCAUAUAAAUGUUUAAGUGCUUCAAAAAUGCAAACUUCAGCUUCUCCAAUUUCCAUCCUGAAGAAUAAUGAAAUCUUGUUGAACCCUACACUCACUUAAUCCAUUGGUGGUUUGCACAUUUGAAUCACCUAAAACUAGUUAUUUGAUCCAUAAUUAAUACUAUUAUAACAUGAGGAUAUACGAAACAGGUUGGCACUGAUGAAUAUAAUGAAGUGAGUUUCGACAAUGGAAUUAACAGAGGAAGAAGCCAUUUCAGAAGAAGUACACCAAAUUAAAAACUUUUGGUAUUCCGACGGAAAAAACCGACGUAAAGAUUGCGAAAAUCGAGGUUGUAUUUAUAACUGAUUACCGACUACAAUUUUCCGACGUCAAGAGGUCGAAAAACUUAUAGUAUUUAUAUUGGGAGCAAACCCUCAUUUCUCACCUCUCUCUUCCUUGCCUCACUCUUUUUCUCUACUCCGAUUCACCUCUUACGACAGCCAAAGAAAGCCGUCCAGUCGGGACUCCGUUCACGGCGGCACCACUGCUCAGUCGAGGUUAAGUGUAUUUUUCCUUCCACUUUUAAGGUUUAUUUCUAUGAGAUUUUUUUUAAUAGAUCUGGAUAGAUAUCACCAUUUUCUUCAAUGUUCCAUGAAGAAUUUAGCUUUGAUUUAGUUUUCUUUUUCUUUCUGGGUUUUGCUCAUAUGAAAAUAUUAACUUGAAUCUUUAUAGUCUCUGCUUUGACUAAUUAACUUCUGAACUUUGUUUAUUGUAUUUAGUAAUGAUUUUGAAACUUUGUUAAUUUCAUCUAACACAAAAGAUAGAACCAUCUAUGUAUAUUUUCCGGGUGACUGAGCGACAAUUUUUCAUUACCCGGAAAGAUGUUUCGUUCAUGAAGUGGCUAUUGAUUUCUAACAGAGAAGUAGCAGACUAGUGAAAAAAACGAUAGUUGGUUUCUCAACUGAUGUCUAUACCCACAUUAGAGCCCAACUAAUCAAAUGAAUCUAUGAAGAACUUAUCCGUCAGUCUUUACUCGUACCUCAAAUCAACAAGAUUUUGAGGAAGAUACAUCCAUGCCAGUCAAGAAUGGAGAUUCAAUGGAUGAACAUAAAACAAGCGAGAAAUAAUUACUCGAUGAAAAUGAAACUAGCAGUGAAAAAAAAUUAAUGAUCAAUUUAAAGCAAACUGGGGAAAAAUUAUUACUGUUAGUUUUUUUAUGUUCUUUAUUCAUAUAAUAAGUUGAAGAAGUAACAACUAUAUUAAUAUUCUUAAAUUAUUGUAUUUUUUUUACUGUGCUUGUAUUAUACAGAUGGCAUCUCAGGAAAACAAUCGUCCACAAAGUACUAGUGCAGUGAGACGUAAAUCUAAGGGAAAGAAAAAAGUUUCCGAGACUACAGGUUACACUACCUCUCUACUCUACUUAUACGCCUCUUACAUGUAUUCAGAAGUCUUUUCGAAAUACAAUCAUUUGAAAUGAUUAAAAUCAUGCAUGAACACAAUCUUUAAAUCAACACCUUUCGAUAAAUGAAAUGUUUUAUUCAUGCAUGUCAUAUGAGAGGAGAUGUGGAGUUGUCCUAUUCAUGCGGCUCAUGCUGCUCGAGCUUUUUCCUCAAAGAUUCUGAUAUUUCUUUCUAUCCACAAGAUAUGAAUGAAUUUUGUUUAUACUGUUUUCAGAGCUUUUGCUAUUUUGGUCUUCCUUUAAUCUAUUGAAAGCAGUUGGUCCAAGUAGUUGGUAUGACAUAGUAUAACUGCAUCAGCUGCUGAGUAAUUUGGCACACAUUUAGUCACCAAACAAUCAACUGUUAGCAGUCUGCCCUGGCAUUGCAAAUUUGCAAUCAUAUUGUAAUUUUGCAUUGGAUCUUCCAUAAUUCUGAAACAUUAAUCCUCUCCGAUUCUUGUUAUCUGGCAGUAGUUACAACUUACAAGUAAAUCUGGUGGAUUAGACUUUUAUGGGAUAUGAAUUGUAAACUUGCCCCUUAGGCACAUUGAACUGUCCCAAGGUCUUCUUGUCCUUGUGUGGACCCUCACAUACUUUGAGGCGAGAAUACAUUGUAUUCUUAAGCUCAUAAUUUUUCCGAAUUAAUUAUUAAAAUGUAUGAAUCUUUACGGGAACACAGAGUCAAAAGUUUGUACAGGUUGGAGCGCUGGAUGCUUUGGGGAGGCUGGUUAUUGCUCCCGCUGGAACUAUUGGGUAAACAACAGUACUUCUGUUAGUUUUUAGUUAUUGAAUAUAUGUUUUUACAUGCUUUAAAUUCAAUGCAGGUUUAUUCCCGGCUUAGAAUCUGCAGAUGCGAUUAUGGGUUCCAUUGUAUCAUUUUAUCGAGAUGCUUGGAGUUCCUGGGAAGAGGUACCUGUCUAUGACAGAGAACAAAUGUGGAAUCACUUCAAGGUACAAAUAGAAAAAAAAUCUUUAUAUUAUUUAUCAAAUUACUUAUUUCAUCUAAUGUUAUAAAUUAUUUGCAGACACAGUGUGCAUGGUGUCCCGAACAUGAAUAUCAUAUAUUUUGUAAUUUUGAGAUAAACGCUGCUUUUUUGCAAAUAAAACCUUGGAGAGUGCUCGGGAAAUGAAUGAGAAGCCCGAUUGGAGGCUAGAAGGUUUAUGGGUUAGACUUGUUGAAAAGUGGACCACUGAGAAAUUUCAAAAGCCGAGCAUCCAACCAAAGGCACCAAGGACUCAUCAAAGGAUAUUGGUAAAUUGUUUAUUAUAUUUUCCUUGAUUUUAACUAAAUGCGAUUGAACUUUUAACCAACUCAUAUUUUUUGUUUUGCAGGAAAAGAAAAAAGGGAGAACUAUGGGUCAUGAUGAAGCUUCAAUAUUGUCAAAGAAGAUUGGUGAAGUAAAGAAACGUAAAGCACGUGGUCUUGGAUCCGACCAUUGCACAGGUUGUAUCAUGUACGGGUUUAUUGCUGCUUCUUUAGAUUCUUCGCAGAAUCAGGAAGAGAUAGAUUCAGAAAUAGAUUCAUUGCGAAUACAAGUACAAGAAUUGUUGAAAAAGCAAAAAGCAGACCGUUCAAGACUUGAUGGACUGGAGAAUCUAGUGGUUCAGCUCAUAGAUAAUUGCCGAUCUGAAGAGUCUGACGAUGAUAAGUCUGAUGGAGAGAAUUAGUUUGUUGUGCUUGUGAUGUUGGAACAUUUACUUGUUUGAUUUCGUUGGAUAUUACCUGAAUGGUGUCUGAAU